GUCGCUUCAGUACGUAAUCUAUUGAUGCCCUCUUAGAACAGAUUUUAGCACGGCUGUCAUAGCAACAUUUCCGAAAGUUUUUUUCUUCUUCAAACAAAAACAAACUUCGAAAAUGAAAACUGGCGGAGAUCGAAUCACGCAGAAAUUAUCCCUUAAAAGGCAAUUCUAAAGUUUAAUUUUACAUUUUAUAAUAUUAUGAAAGCAUUAUUGAUAUGAAAAUACGCGAUCCGGUAUGUUGAAGAAUAUGAAAGCUUGCAUCGCAAAUUGUAAACUCGAAUUUCCAAAAAGAAACUGGCAAAAAUACGCCCGGGAACAAAUAAUCGCGGGUUUAAGAAGUGUUGAGACAUAUAACCAAAUACUGGAAGAAGGUAUUCUAUCUUAUAGUCCCGGUAGCGAUGUCGUUCUAUGUACCCCUCACUACCAGAUGCAUUAGACGUAUCAGAGCCUCUACACCUCAACACCGGCACUUUUCGCAUCACGAGAUGUUCAUCGAUGAAGAAAACCAAAAUUAUACAAGUCUAAAAUCCCGUUUUUUGUAGCAUACCGUGAAAACGACGACGAAGCUCGCACCGAGGCUCGCACAAUAUAUGCCGUUUUUUCAGGAUAUUUGGAAAUGGAAAAACUUUUGACAUUCCCCUCGGACUUAGAAGUCUUAAUUCGCCAGAUACGAGAAUGCAGAUUUACAGUUGAAUGUUCAUAAUUAGCUCAUGUCCCGAAAUAAUUAUUUAUUUUUCUUUUAAAUACAGAAGGAAUUGAUUAGGAUGAAUUUAAAAUUAGAUUGUUUCUUUUUUGAAUUGAAUGAUCAGAACUAUCAAUAGCGAUGGGAGAUAUAUAAAUAUCAACCAUAAAUGCCAUUAGACAUCUCGUUUCUA